rnacentral:misc_RNA from 1 species
GUUAGCAUCUCGACUGCUUCAAGGCUAGGCGCACCUGCCCCAGGAUUCUCCUCCGAUUUCAGUUGCUGUUCAACAAUGAUCUUGGAGUUAGUGACUCUCGUCGCCCUCACGAUCUUUCCAAGAGGAAAGGUUGUGUUCGGUCAGGAAUCCUGUGUAGAUGGAUGCCCAACAAUCCGUCUGUUGGGCCUCAUGGUGCCCCUGGAAGACGAACCCCACGGCAUAGGGGCGUGGCCGAGGGAUGGCGAGGUCACCGUCAGCGGCCCAGGGUUCAACUGGAAGGGGGAGAGGCUGGCGGGGGCUCCCGGGCGCUGGCAUGACAUCACCACCACUUCCGGUCCUCCGUACUGUGUGACCGCUCCGACACUGCGAGAGACCAGAAGCUGUGGACCUGACCAAUACCUGGAAGUGAAGACAGACCAUCCAAGUUCCUGGAGGCUGGACUGUGACCGUUCCUCAUGCGGCUGCCAUACCGAGCGACUGAUAGCACUGCGCGUUCCCGUGGACGAGGCUGUGAAGAUCUACUGGUGGCCGGGAGAGACUUCGUCAGCGCGAACCAUCGGGCCCGGCCUGUGGAAGACCUUGGCGGUGGACGAAGGAGCGAGGAGCCAGUGGCACGAUAUACAAGUUCUGCCGCCGCUGGGAGGCAAGAAGUGUGGUCUUGUGAGCGACAGCCUUGGAAAGCGGUUUGCCUGCGGUCAAGUAUCUAAUGAGACAUCCUCCAUAUACAUUCAGAGCAGCAUUGCAACAGGCUGGGCUCCGAGCUACUGGGCAUUCGGUUGCACAGAAGCCCCAAGAGCACCACCUCAACCAAAGGCUACUUUCAAAACACCAAGGCCAGAUACACCGAGCCGGGAAACACCAAGGCCAGAUACACCGAGCCGGGAAACACCAAGGCCAGAUACACCAAGCCGGGAAACACCAAAACCAGAAUCAACACCACCACCCACAGUCAUACACCAACCAGUCCCCGUGCCGCUAACGGAAGAGCCAGUUACAGAAUGCUCUGGAUUCCGCGCGUCAGGCCUUAUGGUGCCCUUGGAAGACGCUCCACACACACUUAAGUGGCGGCCGGAAAACAAUGCCUCGUUGACACUUCGAGGCCCGGGGCUGCCGUGGGUCGGGGAGAAGCUGAGCGCGUCCCGUGACACCUGGCAUGGCAUCUUCACAACAGGUUCUCGACCGAAGUACUGCGUCUCCGUCCCCACGCUCCGAGCCGCCAAGAGCUGUGGUCCUGAGCAAUACCUCGAAGUGAAGGCUGAAGGACCAGCUUCUUGGCAGUUGGACUGUGACAAUUCCUCGUGUGGAUGUUACACACAGCGGCUGAUCUCACUGCGCUUGCCCCUGGGAGAGAGCAGCAGGCUGUCCUGGUGGCCUGGUCAAGCCACGAGCCUGCGAGUGAUUGCACCUGGAGUUUGGAGGAUGCUUGAGCUGGACGAGUCGGCCAGGCACUUCAUGCAGUCUCUCCAGCACCAGUCUUGGGAAGACCCUCGCCUGUAACCUCGAGGUCACGUCUUCGUCAACUAUUUACGUUCAGGGCAGCGAUUCCAACGGCUGGACACCAAGCUACUGGUCUUUCGGUUGUGCGGGCGUUCCACAGGAGUGCUUGAGAACACCGUAGAACUCCACCUGCAAAACUAGCCUCAACGACGAAAAAAGAUGAACAAUACAGAAAACUCAGUCAUUGGGGUGGAAGAAUAAGCAAAAAUAUAGAAUACUUUCUCAGAACGAGUGCUAGCGUGUGUGUGUGUGUGUGUGUGUGUGUGUGUGUGGCCGAGCAUUAUAUUGGAGGUUAGCUCUCUAUACGCCCAAGAUUCUAGCCACGAGGAUACCACCCAAGCCAUCGCUGAUUUCUUUAGCUAAUUCAAUAAAGAAAUAUACAUA